rnacentral:rRNA from 1 species
UAGCGUAUAUUUAAGUUGUUGCAGUUAAAAAGCUCGUAGUUGGAUUUCGGUUGAGAGCGGCCGGUCCGCCGUUUGGUGUGCACUGGCUGGUUUCAGCUUCCUGCAGAGGACGCGCUCUGGGCUUAAUCGUCUGGACGUGGAGUCUGCGUGGUUACUUUGAAAAAAUUAGAGUGUUCAAAGCGGGCUUACGCUUGAAUAUUUCAGCAUGGAAUAACACUAUAGGACUCCUGUCCUAUUUCGUUGGUCUCGGGACGGGAGUAAUGAUUAAGAGGAACAGUUGGGGGCAUUCGUAUUUCAAUGUCAGAGGUGAAAUUCUUGGAUUUUUGAAAGACGAACUUCUGCGAAAGCAUUUGCCAAGGAUGUUUUCAUUAAUCAAGAACGAAAGUUGGGGGCUCGAAGAUGAUUAGAUACCAUCCUAGUCUCAACCAUAAACGAUGCCGACUAGGGAUUGGCGGAUGUUAAUUGAUGACUCCGCCAGCACCUUAUGAGAAAUCAAAGUUUUUGGGUUCCGGGGGGAGUAUGGUCGCAAGGCUGAAACUUAAAGGAAUUGACGGAAGGGCACCACCAGGCGUGGAGCCUGCGGCUUAAUUUGACUCAACA